rnacentral:lncRNA from 1 species
CGAGUCGUUGUGCGGCGCCACAAAGAGCAGGUGCGCGGCGGUGAGCAGCAGGCGCUCGCGCGGCUCCCGCGUCUCGAUCACGUAGAAGACCUUCUUGGCGCCGUCGUCGCGGUCCAGGAAAUGGCAGGCUGCCGGCCGCUGAUAACGGAACACAUCGGAGUUGGGUCGCGAGACAGCAAUCAAAAGACAAAAAGAGUCUGAUUUUAAAUGGUAGCAAGCCUGGAGAGCUUGUGAGAGAGGCUGCCUUUAGCACUAUAUUAUAGCUGCCAGGGGCGCAUCUGAUUGGCCAAAGCCGCACAAGCUUGUCUUCUGAUGUUAACCCUGAAGAAGACUACG